UGUUUUCAUAUCUUUCCUCCCUCCAUCUUGAGUUUCCUGAGAGUGUCUCAGAUCUGAAACUCCUCCUUCUACUUUCCAUCUUUGAAAGAGUCCAAAUCAAGAAGAAGGAGGCACCUGAUCAACCAUCAAAGAAGGAUCAGCGCAGUACUAGCAUACUGUACUGAUUUCCUGAAGCAGGACUUCUGAUCGAGAUUCGUGGGCUCGUGUGGACGACUUCUAGAGGC
rnacentral:lncRNA from 1 species